rnacentral:lncRNA from 1 species
AGCACCGGACCGGCGAGGAUUACGCUUAACAGGACAGGGGAGUACUACUUUAUUUGUGGUAUCCCUGGUCACUGUUCUGCCGGCCAGAAGCUAAACGUGGAAGUACGAAAUGGUAACACCACCGGCGGUGUUACUCCGUCGACGCCUGUAACUCCAACCACCACCACUUAUACGGUGGGUGACUCCACUGGUUGGCGAGUCCCUACUAAUAAUGAUGAUUUUUAUGAGGAUUGGGCUGAUAAUAAACACUUCGUUGUCGGAGACGUUUUAGGUCAGUUUCUUAAGUCAACAUUUGAAUCGAAAUUUGAUGCUUUUUUUUAUCCAACUGUUUGAUGUUUUUCUUUUCUUUUUGCAGUGUUUAAUUUUACGACCGGACAGCAUAAUGUUGCAGAGGUGACGGAAGAUGCUUACGAUGACUGCAACACUGCAAAUGCCAUAUCUACUUUGACCACCGGUCCGGCAAGGAUUACCCUUAACAAGACCGGUGACCAUUACUUCAUUUGCAGUGUCCCCGGUCAUUGUUCCGCCGGCCAAAAGCUCAAGGUUGAAGUUCGAACUGGUAACACCACCGGUGGCGUUGCUCCGUCGCCGCCUGUAACUCCAAGCACCACCACUUUUACAGUGGGUGACUCUACUGGUUGGCGUGUCCCUACCAAUGAUGAUUUUUAUGAGGAUUGGGC